rnacentral:lncRNA from 1 species
UCAGGCACGGUGGGGUGAGGAGGAAGCUCGGGCUUCGGCAGCUCCGGCACGGCGGGGUGCUCAGGCACCUCAGGCUUUGGCAGCUCCGGCACCUCGGGCUUUGGUAGCUCAGGUACGGUGGGGUGAGGAGGAAGCUCGUGCUUCGGCAGCUCCGGCACGGCGGGGUGCUCAGGCACCUCAGGCUUUGGCAGCUCCGGCACCUCGGGCUUUGGUAGCUCAGGCACGGUGGGGUGAGGAGGAAGCUCGGGCUUCGGCAGCUCCGGCACGGCGGGGUGCUCAGGCACCUCAGGCUUUGGUAGCUCCGGCAUCUCGGGCUUCGG